rnacentral:rRNA from 1 species
CCUACGGGUCGCAGCAGUGGGGAAUAUUGCACAAUGGGGGAAACCCUGAUGCAGCGACGCCGCGUGAGUGAAGCAGUAUUUCGGUAUGUAAAGCUCUGUCAGCAGGGAAGAAAAUGACGGUACCUGACCAAGACUCACCGGCUAACUACGUGCCAGCAGCCGCGGUAAGACGUAGGGGGCAAGCGUUAUCCGGAUUUACUUGGUGUAAAGGGAGCGUAGACGGCAGGGCAAGUCUGGAGUGAAAGGCGGGGGCUCAACCCCCGGACUGCUCUGGAAACUGCCAGGCUGGAGUGCAGGAGAGGUAAGUGGAAUUCCUAGUGUAGCGGUGAAAUGCGUAGAUAUUAGGAGGAACCCCAGUGGCGAAGGCGGCUUACUGGACUGUAACGGACGUUGAGGCUCGAAAGCGUGGGGAGCAAACAGGAUUAGAUACCCCAGUCGUC